rnacentral:rRNA from 1 species
AAUGAACGCUGGCGGCAGGCCUAACACAUGCAAGUCGAACGAGGCAGCAAAGCCUAGUGGCGGACGGGUGAGUAACGAGUGGGAACGUGCCCCUUGGUACGGAAUAGCCCUGGGAAACUGGGAGUAAUACCGUAUGUGGUCGAGAGACGAAAGAUUUAUCGCCAAGGGAUCGGCCCGCGUUGGAUUAGGUAGUUGGUGGGGUAAUGGCCUACCAAGCCGACGAUCCAUAGCUGGUUUGAGAGGAUGAUCAGCCACACUGGGACUGAGACACGGCCCAGACUCCUACGGGAGGCAGCAGUGGGGAAUUUUAGACAAUGGGGGAAACCCUGAUCUAGCCAUGCCGCGUGAUCGAUGAAGGCCUUAGGGUUGUAAAGAUCUUUCAGUGGGGAAGAUAAUGACGGUACCCACAGAAGAAGCCCCGGCUAACUCCGUGCCAGCCGCCGCUGUAA